UAAGGGGUAUCAUAAAUAGUGUAACUCAUUUACGUUGAGUAGGUAAAGUGACUGCUUUUCCCUUAA
rnacentral:tRNA from 1 species